UUAAUUAGAAAAAAUUGAUAUUGAUAUAAAUAUUAAAUAGAGUUAAUAUUUCGCUCGGGCGCCAAUUGAAUAAACCUCAACGGAUGUGAACACAUAUUUCGCAUUAAAAAUUGUCAUCGUUAUAAUUUAGCUCAUUUGCAAAGCAGUAAAAACCGAAAAAAGUUUGGCAACAAUGCAAAGUUUCUUGAAAAAGCCAUACAACACCUUGAACAAGCAAAAUAAUCGGAAACUAUGCGUGAUGAAGCUGACGUAUUUGGUGAAUCAUGGACAAUUUUAUUAAGGAAAUUACAGUGAAGCAAAAAGAAAACUUGUACAGAGAGAUAUUUUGACUUUGAAGCUUAUAAGCUGCAACCAAGAGUAACAGUAUGGUAAUUUUAUGUAUUUUUAUACAAAUUUUAACAAUAACUCAGUUUUGAUGUUAACGAUUGCAAAAAAAUAAAAUAUCUAUAUUUGAGCUGCCAAUAAAAAUAAAAACUUGUACGUUGACAGCACUUAAAAGGCAGUUAUCAAGAA